rnacentral:misc_RNA from 1 species
AAUUCUCAACCUUACCAGCUUUGUUGUUGGUCUGGCUUGGAUGUGGGGGGUUUUUGCAGGCUUUAACAAGUCAGCUCCCCUGAAAUGUAUUAGCGGUACCCUUGUGGUAAACGGCUAUUGGUGUGAUAAUUAUCUACGCCAUUCAGUCGCCCACAUUCUUUUUAACCAAAGAAAGGGGGUUAUGCUGCUUCAAACAGUCCAUUGACUUGGACAAUAGAAAUGACAA